GCCACUUAUAAAGUUGGCCUUAAGGUGCACCCUAAUGAGCAGGACCCCCGUGUGCCUAUCAUGUGCUGGGGCAGCUGUUCUUGCACCAUCCAGUCUAUAGAGAGAUUAUUGGUAGAUGAGGAGAAGCCUUGUUUGGAAGUUUACCCUGUAGACAGGUAUGACAACCCAACUUAUUGUCAUAUCUCAGCCCAGCCAGGACUCGGUUUCCCGAGAAGCAACACCCACUUCUAACGUGGCCGCUGAGGACUACACUUCCCACACACGCAUGCGCUCACUUCCCCGGAGUUCUGAUCUCACACACCUGCAGCCAAUCACCUUGUCCACUCACCACGGCUUAUUAAGAGACUUUGGAUACAGAGACACUUUGAGAAGUAAACAUUCAGUAGACUAGUUUCUCUGUCGUUCUCCAAGCGUUACCUGCUGUGUUUAUUCGAUAAGUGACUUUGACCUUUGCUUACGUCCCCGACCACGAUUUCUGUCUUGCCCCGUUUGUUUUGUUUGCAUGAUCGCCUGACCCUCGCUUGCUUCUUGACUAUGGACUGUGUUCACCCCUCUGGAUUAUUCUGCCUGAACCUGCUGCCCGCUUCUGCUUCUGUAUUCCCCACGGAGACUAUUUGAGUUCCCUGGCUCAGUUUGGCUCUGCGUGCUGGACUGUCUCCUCUCAAUCCUCUGUGCAAAAUCACUUCACUUCAUGCGACUCACUUGUUCUUGCUCCCCAGGUGGAAAGUUCCCCCUGCAUUCUGGAUGUUCCACUUAGUGGUG
ensembl:lncRNA